UCUGUCUCCCUCUCUGCUCUACGGAACCCGCAAACUCCCUCUCUCUUUCUUCCUCACUACUGAGAUAGGAAACAAAAACGAUAUACAGUUUAGAUUAGGACAAGGAGCGGAAGUCGUACCCAUGUUGAGGAGGGACAAAAAAUGCGGAGUUUUGACAAAAACCACAGAAAGCCCGUGUCGUUUAUUUUUCUCGGCACGUUCGCCAGAAAACCAAGGAGGAGGAGGAGGAGGAUGGUGAGUCAAUGGGAGAGACCAACAACGGAUCACAACCCAUCUCGCUGUUUCUCUUUUGCCUCCCCUGUGAAGACUGGACACAUCCAUUUCAAAGCAGACCGAAUUGGAGCAACGAUCUUAGCUUGUCCAUGUCGAGACAAGAAGCGUAUUUUUAAAUACUUCAGUAGGCCUGUCACUAGGCUACUUUGUUCUGACUGGAUGGUUGCUAUCAGUUUGGUGUCACACCGGAAUCAAAUUGAAGCUUGAUGCCGCGCGUUAGAACUCUUGUUUUCCCGGUUCACCAAGGAUCGUGCUUCAUUUUUGGAUAAUUUGGACAGACUUUGCAUCAGGUUUAGGAGAGACGCUGAAGGGGGGGAAGGCAGAGGCACCUGGGACCUGUAACGCUGGCAGUCCUGACCCAAAGGGUGCAGCAUUCUUUACAACACAGAAUGAAGAAUGAAGAGGAGGAUGAAAGGACAGAGUGGGAGGAAAGGCUAGAACCAGGAGGGAGAUGGAGAGGUGGAGAGGUGGAGGGCUGAGAGCAGGGCGGCACCUGGAGCUUGGCUUAGUCGUCCAGGACCGCAGGAGGCUCUCACUCUCCCUGCCUCCAGCCCGACCGCGGCAUCGCCAGGGCCCGCUCGCAGAUUGGAGGCCAAGCGAGGUGCUCCCUCAGUGGGCUGCAGAGGUGCAGCUGGAUCCCCGCAGCUCCCCACCCAUGUGGAGCGGUGGAGCAGCAGAGAUCAAUACGGAGAGAGGGGCCUCCACCACACUGCUCAACUGUAGCCUCCAGCGCAGAAGACCCCAAGACCUCUAGAGCACGCUGCUGCUAAACACACACACACCAACUCACUAGACUGGAGAAGUGUGCACACACACACACACACACACACACACACACAGAAACUUGAGAACACAUACAACUCCCAAAUCGGUCUUUGUGUAGUGUUGAAGACUUCGCCAAAGGCAUUUUCUAUGAUCAGCUCUGUAACCAUCCACAUUUGCUUUUGGAAAAAGUCGUUCAGUUUUUGUAAAAUUUAUAAUGCAUCCUGAAAAUGUGUGUUGGCAAGUAAAAACUAACACACACAAACAACACUCCAGAAAUAAACUCCCCAAGUUCUCCCCGGGGGGCACCCAAGUGUUAGAGUUCACACUGAGAUUGAACCUAUUUGUGAGAGUUGCUCUACUGGACGACCAAACCUCAAACCAUCACGAAGAAUCCAGAAGUCCACCCAGAAAAUCACCUGCCCAGAGUAGUGUCCAAGAGCUGCACUCAGUACUGACCAGACCGAGGACAGGAUGACCGACAGAAGCUUUUACAGUAUGAGGUUGCUGGGAAAGUGUAGGUGGCACUGGAGAUGCAGAGAGGACUAUACCAGAGCAGAGAUGACAAAGCACCAAGUCUCUUACUUUACAGCAAACUAUCACAGAAAGAAUGCACUAAUUCCAUCAAACAACCAUCUCAGCACUGCAACAAAAAUGGUGGAUACCAACUGCUUACAAGAAGAAGACCAGACAUGUACAAAAACAUGCCUUUGUGUACUGAACUCCUACCUGGCAAUCUGUGUAUUGGCCUCAAACAUCUCUGGAUACAUUAAAGAAUCUACUAUGUAUGAACAGUUUUUCCACUUUCCUCUAAAUCUAAUCACAAUUCCGAGGAAUGUCCUGUAUUGGAUAUGAAUUGGCUGGUUCGUUGAUGAGGUGAUGGAUCAUCAGAAAAGAUGGGUAAGUAAAGGUAAGUAAGUGAUAUACUACAUCUCUCAUGAAAUAAUUAACCAUUAGGUAAUCAGUAAAGCAGAAAUUUGACAAAGUAUUUAUAUAUAGUUAAUUUUAGAGAAAUCAUAUUCCAGAAUCCACAUAUUAUUAGGCUCUUUGUUACUAGAAUGUGGGCACAAUAUAUUCAGAUAUUUGACCCCAAUAUUACAUUUUGUGGACCUAAGGAGCUGGCAUAAGAUAGAAAAACACCACCUCCUUAACAGCAUUUU